rnacentral:rRNA from 1 species
GAUGAACUUACCGUUGUUCUUCUGAGCAGCCUCCUCGUCGCAGCAGCAAGCUUGCAAUGCUUGUGGAGCCUCGCUCUGGGCGCUGUGGACAUCUACGCACUUCUUGUCAAGCGUUCCUUCCGGUCUCCUCGAGCCACCACCAUAUAUUCCAUCGGGGACUGGGUCACAGGCGCGCUGACGUUCGCUGCAGCAAGUGGAUCAGCAGGCAUCACCAUUCUCCUCGACGACGACCUGAUGUUGUGCUCGGAGAACCACUGCCCAAGCUUCAUGGCCGCCACCGCCAUGGCUUUCUUUAGCUGGUUCGCGAUCGCGCCGUCCUGCCUCUUUAACCUCAUGAUGGCGGUCUACAGAGUGCAGAGAGCUUCGUAG